CAUUAACGAAUGUCUUUUUGACACAAACACCUGUGAACUAAAUUCUUGCUUCGGUCGACGAAAGUCGGCCGGUAUCAAAACCGAAUCAAUUUUGUUGUCUGACUGAAGAUUAAUAAAUCAAAACUUUCAACAACGGAUCUCUUGGUUCUCGCAUCGAUGAAGAACGCAGCGAAUUGCGAUAAGUAAUGUGAAUUGCAGAAUUGUGAAUCAUCGAAUCUUUGAACGCACAUUGCGCCCUUGGGCAUUCCCAAGGGCAUACCUGUUUGAGCGUCAUUUCACUCUUAAACCUCUGGUUUAGUGUUGUCUCGUUCUCUUUUAGAGAUGAGGUGAAAUGAAUUGGCACAGAUUUCUAGUGACUUAAACAACGUAAUAGGUUUUCCCAAUUCGUUGGCCAUAGAAGCUAGAUACGUCUGGGCGUACAAACUACUUUUAAGUUUGACCUCAAAUCAGGCAAGACUACCC
rnacentral:rRNA from 1 species